CAAUUAGUUGAUGUCGCCAAAGAAGCAGCUGUUCUUUCCAGUCGCUCCAUCAGCAGUCCUGUGUCGUUGUUUGGAGUCCCUCGGGUUCCCAUCUGCGCACACAGCGCCGAGCCAGCGCCCCAUGUGUGCUGACGGCGGAUAAACCAUCACAUUGCGUGUUGUUUGGUGAAAGGGAGUCAAAGCUGGAAGGGCACAGUCAGACACUUGAUUAAGCAGAUCCUAGAAGUCCUAAACAUGUCUGGAUGUGGCAUUCAACCUUCUAAUGUUGGGCUCUAGAAGGCAAUGUUGUCUGGCUUCGGGUAAAUGGAUGGCCGCAGCAGGUGUUGGUUCUCACGGGAAGGUGCAAACUCUUAUGGGAUAUCUAAAAAUACCAGAAAGGAUACAAGCCAUGCAACCCUCAGAGGCCAGCGGGGUGGUGUUGAGUUGCCAAGGGUUGCAUAAUGGCUUAGUGGCCAGCAUGUCAGCUUUUUUACAGUCAGGAUGCAUUCGAAUGUCAUUUGGGGAAUCUCGUUGUGGAGUUUGCAACUCAGUGCUGUCUCGCUGGCGGCUUCUUGCUCGCUCGUGUUUGCGCUCUCGUGUGUCUCCUCUCUUCCCCGUUGUCAUGGCUGCUAAGACGACCAGCUGCUGCUAAGACGACCAGCUGCUGAUAAGACGACCAGCCUCAGCUGGGCAAUCCACUCACCUGUCAGCUUGGACUUCGAAGCCGGGCCAUACACACUCCCUUCCGCAGGAGGCGCGCCGACCACGUCUCCCUCCACAGUGUUAUUUCCCAAAAUUCAAAGCUCCCAAAGGGUUUGUUAUUGCAGAGGUAGCACUUGAAGUUUACAAAAUGUUUAAUUUUGUUGCUUAUUAUCAAUUAAUUCCGGUUUAUGUGGGAGUCUCAGACUGGAAAUGCAUUAAAGUGUCAUUUGCACCAAUACACUAAGAUUUGUAAGCACAUGGUCAUGUGAAGUCAUACAAAGGAAAUCCCGGGUUUGCAAUAAUAAUGAUAUUAGCAAGAAAAACAGUAAUUUUUAAGAUAGACUGCCGACUGUCAAGGUGAAAAAAGUGAGUGAAACUGUACAAAAAAGUUGCUUGAUUGCGUAUUAAUGUCAUAUAAAAUACAAUUACAUGCUAGUGUGUGAAUGUUGUCUGGUGCAAGUGACCCGGAGAGUGAUAAGUGGUAGAAAAUGGAUGUACAGUUAGUAGUAUCAUGCUGAAAAAGAGGUUUUUGGGAAAGAUUGCAACAAUACUAAGCAAACACGUUUACGACAGACUGAAUGCUUCUUUUUUUUUUCAACAUUGUACAGCUAUGAACACAGCCAGUGCUCGGAAUCUCCCUGAGUGGCAAUGAUUCAUGUAUCGCUUUGUUUGACAAGGAAAGCAAUUACCAUUGCUGCAAAUGCACCAUAAUAAGACAAAUAGCUAUUUUUCAUCCUCGGACCCUGGACAAUUAAAUAUAAAUAUCACAAUAAAUGUACUUUGUACAAACAAAUAGGCUACAUUAGGUGAGAUUUAAAGUUUAACAAAGAAAAAAACAUUUAAAUUGGAGUAUAUCAAACAAUAUGUUGGAUUUACAUGACAACAUUAAAAGAUUACAGUUGGUACAAAAUGCGGCUGCUAGACUUUUGACAAGAACAAGAAAGUUUGAUCAUAUUACGCCUGUACUGGCUCACCUGCACUGGCUUCCUGUGCACUUAAGAUGUGACUUUAAGGUUUUACUACUUACGUAUAAAAUACUACACGGUCUAGCUCCAGCCUAUCUUGCCGAUUGUAUUGUACCGUAUGUCCCAGCAAGAAAUCUGCGUUCAAAAGACUCCGGCUUAUUAGUGAUUC